rnacentral:rRNA from 1 species
AGAUUGAACGCUGGCGGCAUGCCUUACACAUGCAAGUCGAACGGUAACAGGUCUUCGGAUGCUGACGAGUGGUGAACGGGUGAGUAAUACAUCGGAACGUGCCCGAGAGUGGGGGAUAACGCAGCGAAAGCUGUGCUAAUACCGCAUACGAUCUACGGAUGAAAGCAGGGGAUCGCAAGACCUUGCGCUCAUGGAGCGGCCGAUGGCAGAUUAGGUAGUUGGUGGGAUAAAAGGCUCACCAAGGCGACGAUCGGUAGC